AUACGUAGGGAGCAAGCGUUGUCCGGAAUUAUUGGGCGUAAAGAGCUCGUAGGCGGUUCGGUAAGUCGGGUGUGAAAAUCCAGGGCUCAACCCUGGGACGCCACCCGAUACUGCUGUGACUAGAGUCCGGUAGAGGAGCGUGGAAUUCCUGGUGUAGCGGUGAAAUGCGCAGAUAUCAGGAGGAACACCAGCGGCGAAGGCGGCGCUCUGGGCCGGUACUGACGCUGAGGAGCGAAAGCAUGGGGAGCAAACAGGAUUAGAAACCCCAGUAGUCC
rnacentral:rRNA from 1 species